UCUUCACAGUAAAUUUCAUUGUGUCAAAAG
rnacentral:piRNA from 1 species